GUGCUUGCUCAUUUCGGCAGCACAUAUACUAAAAUUGGAACGAUACAGAGAUUAGCAUGGCUAAUCUCAAGGAUGACACAAAUUCGUGAAGCAUUCCAUAUUAAA
rnacentral:snRNA from 1 species